CCUACGGGUGGCAGCAGUGAGGAAUAUUGGUCAAUGGGCGGAAGCCUGAACCAGCCAAGUAGCGUGCAGGAUGACGGCCCUACGGGUUGUAAACUUCUUUUAUACGGGAAUAACGCGCCUUACGUGUAGGGCUUUGCAUGUACCGUAUGAAUAAGGACCGGCUAAUUCCGUGCCAGCAGCCGCGGUAAUACGGAAGGUGCGGGCGUUAUCCGGAUUUAUUGGGUUUAAAGGGCGCGUAGGCCGCAUGUCAAGUGUGCGGUGAAAUGUCCGGGCUCAACCCUGGCCUUGCAGUGGAAACUGGCGUGCUUGAGUGCGCGGAAAGUAGGCGGAAUUCGUCGUGUAGCGGUGAAAUGCUUAGAUAUGACGAAGAACCCCGAUUGCGAAGGCAGCUUGCUGCAGCCGAACUGACGCUGAUGCUCGAAAGCGCGGGUAUCGAACAGGAUUAGAUACCCUGGUAGUC
rnacentral:rRNA from 1 species